rnacentral:rRNA from 1 species
GGAGUCUGGACCGUGUCUCAGUUCCAGUGUGGGGGACCUUCCUCUCAGAACCCCUAGACAUCGUCGGCACGGUGGGCCGUUACCCCGCCGUCUACCUAAUGUCUCGCGAGCCAAUCCACAACCCUCGUAAGUUUCAACUCCGGACGAUGCCGCCCUAAGUUUUAUGCGGUAUUAGACGACGUUUCCAUCGCUUAUCCCCCUGUUGUGGGUAUGUUGCUCACGCGUUACGCACCCUUGCGCCGGUCGCCGCCAGAAGUAUUGCUACUCCCGCGCUGCCCCUCGACUUGCAUGUGUUAAGCCUGCCGCUAGCGUUCAUC